rnacentral:rRNA from 1 species
UCGGAGAGUUUGAUCCUGGCUCAGGACGAACGCUGGCGGCGUGCCUAAUACAUGCAAGUCGAGCGGACAGAUGGGAGCUUGCUCCCUGAUGUUAGCGGCGGACGGGUGAGUAACACGUGGGUAACCUGCCUGUAAGACUGGGAUAACUCCGGGAAACCGGGGCUAAUACCGGAUGGUUGUUUGAACCGCAUGGUUCAAACAUAAAAGGUGGCUUCGGCUACCACUUACAGAUGGACCCGCGGCGCAUUAGCUAGUUGGUGAGGUAA